rnacentral:rRNA from 1 species
CCUACGGGAGGCAGCAGUGAGGAAUAUUGGUCAAUGGACGAGAGUCUGAACCAGCCAAGUAGCGUGAAGGAUGACUGCCCUAUGGGUUGUAAACUUCUUUUAUAUGGGAAUAAAACGUUCCACGUGUGGGAUUUUGUAUGUACCAUAUGAAUAAGGAUCGGCUAACUCCGUGCCAGCAGCCGCGGUAAUACGGAGGAUCCGAGCGUUAUCCGGAUUUAUUGGGUUUAAAGGGAGCGUAGGUGGAUUGUUAAGUCAGUUGUGAAAGUUUGCGGCUCAACCGUAAAAUUGUAGUUGAAACUGGCAGUCUUGAGUACAGUAGAGGUGGGCGGAAUUCGGGGUGUAGCGGUGAAAUGCUUAGAUAUCACGAAGAACUCCGAUUGCGAAGGCAGUUCACUGGACUGCAACUGACACUGAGGCUCGAAAGUGUGGGUAUCAAACAGGAUUAGAUACCCGGGUAGUC